UGCUUUGUCUUCCUGCAGGGACUACCAGGAAGACACCAACCCAAGCCUCCACCUCCAUAGACCAGGAGAAGCAGAUGACAAAGUUGGAGAAACUAACCCUUCAGCUACAGAGUACAACAUAGGAGCACAUUGAACUGCAUGGAAUCCUGGGCAGUUAUAUAGACAAGGAUUUGCAGAACAGGCUGAAUUCUUUUGAAAUCAUGAAAAAGGAGCAUAAGCAGGUGAUGCUGGACUUACAGAAAAUGCCAGUGGAAAUAUGUGACGGUGUGAAGAAGAUCAAACAGCUGAUUGAAGAGAAUGUAUCCUACAGGAGCAAGAGAGCCUGGAUGAAAGACCGAAGGACCUGCUGAAGCAGAAGGAGCUGGUCACCCAGCAAGAGGACUUGGCA